CAACAACUAGUGACCACCACGCGGGAGUAUAAACAGUUACGGCGCUCUCUUGACGUCACACUGUCGCUCCUCAGCUCAGCUGCGGCAAGUACAACCCAAGUCAUAGUCUC